rfam:Schistosoma curassoni strain Dakar, Senegal genome assembly, scaffold: SCTD_scaffold0001427
GCACUGCUGACGAGUCCUACAACAGGACGAAAUGCCCAUCCAGUGC